AUUGAACGCUGGCGGCAUGCCUUACACAUGCAAGUCGAACGGCAGCACGGGAGCAAUCCUGGUGGCGAGUGGCGAACGGGUGAGUAAUAUAUCGGAACGUGCCCAGUCGUGGGGGAUAACGUAGCGAAAGCUACGCUAAUACCGCAUACGAUCUACGGAUGAAAGCGGGGGAUCGCAAGACCUCGCGCGAUUGGAGCGGCCGAUAUCAGAUUAGCUAGUUGGUGGGGUAAAAGCUCACCAAGGCGACGAUCUGUAGCUGGUCUGAGAGGAUGAUCCGCCACACUGGGACUGAGACACGGCCCAGACUCCUACGGGAGGCAGCAGUGGGGAAUUUUGGACAAUGGGCGGAAGCCUGACCCAGCCAUGCCGCGUGAAGGAAGACGGCCUUAUGGGUUGUAAACUUCUUUACUAUGCGACUAACUAGAUUUACGAGAUAAUUCUAUAGAAUGUAGCAUAGCAAAAAGCACCGGCUAACUCCGU
rnacentral:rRNA from 1 species